AGAGUUUGAUCCUGGCUCAGGAUGAACGUUGGCGGUGUGCCUAAUACAUGCAAGUCGAACGGAGUUAAUAGCAAUAUUGACUUAGUGGCGAACGGGUGAGUAACGCGUUGGUGAUCUGCCUCGAAGUGUGGAAUAACGUUCCGAAAGGAUCGCUAAUACCGCAUGUGCUCUCGAUUUUUAGAAACUUGAGAGUAAAGGAUUUAUUCGCUUCGAGAGGAGCCUGCGUCCCAUCAGCUGGUUGGUAGGGUAACGGCCUACCAAGGCUAUGACGGGUAGGGGACCUGAGAGGGUGGCCCCCCACAAUGGAACUGAAACACGGUCCAUACACCUACGGGUGGCAGCAGUAGGGAAUAUUAGAAAUGGACGAAAGUCUGAUCUAGCAACACCGCGUGUGCGAAGAAGGCCUUCGGGUCGUAAAGCACUUUUUGGAAGGAAUAGGAAGGAAUGUACUUCCAGAAUAAGUCUCGGCUAACUACGUGCCAGCAGCCGCGGUAACACGUAGGAGGCAAACGUUAUCCGGAUUUACUGGGCGUAAAGCGCGUGUAGGUGGUACUGUAAGUAGGGCGUGAAAGCUCCCGGCUCAACUGGGAGAGGCCGUUCUAAACUGCAGAACUAGAGGAUGGUAGAGGGAGGUGGAAUUCCAGGUGUAGCGGUGGAAUGCGCAGAUAUCUGGAGGAACACCAGUGGCGAAGGCGGCCUCCUGGACCAUUCCUGACACUCAGACGCGAAAGCUAGGGUAGCAAACGGGAUUAGAGACCCCGGUAGUCCUAGCCCUAAACGAUGUAGACUAGGCGUCGGUGGUUUAAUCACCAUCGGUGUCCAAGCUAACGCGAUAAGUCUACCGCCUGGGGACUACGGCCGCAAGGUUAAAACUCAAAUGAAUUGACGG
rnacentral:rRNA from 1 species